rnacentral:rRNA from 1 species
UACGUAGGUGGCAAGCGUUGUCCGGAUUUACUGGGAGUAAAGAGCGCGUAGGCGGUCGUUCAAGUCGCGUGUGAAAGCCCCCGGCUCAACUGGGGAGGGUCACGCGAUACUGAUCGACUCGAAGGCAGGAGAGGGUAGUGGAAUUCCCGGUGUAGUGGUGAAAUGCGUAGAUAUGUGGAGGAACACCAGUGGCGAAGGCGACUUUCUGGGCUGUAACUGACGCUGAGGCGCGAAAGCGUGGGGAGCAAACAGG